AGGCCCUACCUGUUCAACCUGAAGCUGAGAGAGUUCAGACUCCAUUUUAAGUGGACACAGCAGGAGGAAAACUGAAGGCUGAAGCAGGCCUAUAGGGAGACAGGCUGAGGAGUUUGUUGCCCAGCUGGAACACAGAGUGGAGACACUGUUAGCUGCACCAUCCAGUACAUGUAAAAUACAACACACCAGCUAAGCUGGAACAACAAGAACACCUGAACUGAAGUCCAGAAGAUGGAGGACAGAGCAGAGUCUGCAGGAUCCAGCUGUCUGUCUAUGAAGAGUGACGGGUCUAAAGAGAACCUCCAACUUCAGUACUGAACCUGGACCCUCAGACACAAAAGUUCAGUCCAACAGACAGAGAGCAGAGUCUGCAGGAUCCAGCUGUCUGUCUAUGAAGAGUGACUUGUCCAAAGAGGAACUUGUGAACUUCAGUCCUGAACCUGGACCCUCAGACACAAAAGAGAAGAAGAGGAGUCAAGUUUCUGUGGAGGAGCAGCCGUCCUGCUGUGCUUUGUGUC